GGCGGACGUGGCCAAGUGGAUUAAGGCAGUGGAUUGUGGAUCCACCACGCGCGGGUCAAUUC
rnacentral:tRNA from 1 species